rnacentral:rRNA from 1 species
UGGGCCUACGGGAGGCAGCAGUGGGGAAUAUUGCACAAUGGGGGAAACCCUGAUGCAGCGACGCCGCGUGGAGGAAGAAGGUCUUCGGAUUGUAAACUCCUGUCCUUGGGGACGAUAAUGACGGUACCCAAGGAGGAAGCACCGGCUAACUACGUGCCAGCAGCCGCGGUAAAACGUAGGGUGCAAGCGUUGUUCGGAAUGACUGGGCGUAAAGGGUGUGUAGGCGGUGUAGCAAGUUAGAAGUGAAAUACCUAGAGCUUAACUCAGGUGCUGCUUCUAAAACUGCUAUACUUGAGUGCAGUAGA